UACGUAGGGGGCAAGCGUUGUCCGGAAUCAUUGGACGUAAAGCGCGUGUAGGCGGUCCGGUAAGUCCGCUGUGAAAGUCCAGGGCUCAACCCUGGGAUGCCGGUGGAUACUGUCGGGCUAGAGUACGGAAGAGGCGAGUGGAAUUCCCGGUGUAGCGGUGAAAUGCGCAGAUAUCGGGAGGAACACCAAUUGCGAAGGCAGCUCGCUGGGACGUUACUGACGCUGAGACGCGAAAGCGUGGGGAGCAAACAGG
rnacentral:rRNA from 1 species